rnacentral:tRNA from 1 species
GGGUCCGUAGCUCAGCCUGGUUAGAGCACUCGACUCUUAAUCGAGUGGCCGUGGGUUCGAAUCCCUCCGGACUCA